AUGAGAGCCCAUCUCACGGCCAUAAUUUCGUCUUUGGCUGCCGGAUCCCAGAUCGCGUCUUCGCUACUGGACGGAGCCAACGACUCUUCUACCAACGGGAUCACAUCCCUCACGUCGACGACUUUCUUGCGGGUCAUCCUUGCGCCGGCAGCCGCCCUGAACCUCGUGGCGCACGUACAUGUUCGUGCAGCCGGUGCGGCCUUUGUCGCUACGGCGCCACCACCGCGCACUCCACUGGCGCAAUGCUCCGCAAGUCGUACGGUCCAGCGGCGCAUCGUCGUACUGGUGAGCAGCGAUUGGGGAGAAAAACUCAGCAAUUAG
rnacentral:rRNA from 1 species